CUAUACAGACAAAAUAGGGUGCCUGCUGAACACUAGAACUUUACGUCUAGGGACCCAACGAGGCACAAGCAAAAGCGGACAAACAUAUCAACCUAAAUUUCAACAGAUAUGUUGCAGGAACUGCCGAUAGUACUUGUUUUUGACUACUGACAGGCAGAAUCCCAUAAUGAAAAACAGUCCUUCAAAUUCAAAUAAGAUAUGCAGGGCGGAGACGUUAAAUGUAUCACGUGACCUUCUUACGUUCGCUUGAGCCUCCCUCUCUGCUAUUUGUGCCUGAGGGCGUUAAGGUUGACCUUGUCCUGAGAAAGCGUAGACUGGCUGCAUGACUCCUCUGGGGAACCGUGUCGCCUCUAACCUGGGCUUGGACGGACGGACGUACGCAAGUGGAAAACUGUGAGGAAAUGGACAUUUGGAGCAGGGAAACCAUGGAGUCAAUUUAGUCACUGUCUACUACCUUUUCGCAUGCAAGUACAAAGCCAGCCUCACACGUUGGUGUUGACAAGAAUUUCUCUCUGAGGAAUUUAGGGACAGAACAAUUCCUAGCAUCUGUUUCCUGCUCUCUUGCUUUGUGUGAAGGAAACAGAGUGUAAAUCACACCAAAUAUAAAUAGAAUCAGGAAUACAUUUUUCAAGAGCUAAAGUCGGUUGCUGUUCCACAGUGUUUUGGUUUUUCAGACACCAAAAUUUGUACCUGCUGUAACAGGAGAAAUAAUUAAAAACACUCGUGUAAACUAAAUGUAUUGCAUUGAUUAGCCUUAAUGAAAUAAAACGUAUUGAACCAAGA